rnacentral:rRNA from 1 species
UACGGAGGGUGCGAGCGUUGUCCGGAAUCACUGGGCGUAAAGGGCGCGUAGGCGGCUCCGGCAGUCUGUGGUGAAAGCCCAGGGCUCAACUCUGGGUCGGCCACGGAUACUCCGGGGCUGGAGCACACUAGAGGCGGAUGGAAUUCCGGGUGUAGCGGUGGAAUGCGUAGAGAUCCGGAAGAACACCGGUGGCGAAGGCGGUCCG